rnacentral:rRNA from 1 species
AGAGUUUGAUCCUGGCUCAGAACGAACGCUGGCGGCGUGCUUAACACAUGCAAGUCGAACGAGAAAGUUUCUUCGGAAACGAGUAAGUGGCGCACGGGUGAGUGGUGAGUAACGCGUAGAUAACCUGUCCAAGCGACUGGGAUAGCCCUUCGAAAGGGGGAUUAAUACCGGAUACGUUGAUUGUUUUUAAGGACAAUCAAGAAAGGUGGCCUCUAUUUAUAAGCUAUCACGCAUGGAGGGGUCUGCGUACCAUUAGUUUGUUGGUGGGGUAAUGGCCUACCAAGACUACGAUGGUUAACGGGUCUGAGAGGAUGAUCCGUCACACUGGCACUGAAACACGGGCCAGACUCCUACGGGAGGCAGCAGUGAGGAAUAUUGCGCAAUGGGGGCAACCCUGACGCAGCGACGCCGCGUGGGUGAGGAAGGCUUUCGGGUCGUAAAGCUCUGUCAGAAGGGAGAAAUGCUUAUAGGUUAAUACCUUGUAAGUUUGACGGUACCUUCAAAGGAAGCACCGGCUAACUCCGUGCCAGCAGCCGCGGUAAUACGGAGGGUGCAAGCGUUGUUCGGAAUCACUGGGCGUAAAGAGCGUGUAGGCGGCUCGUUAAGUCUGAUGUGAAAGCCCCGGGCUCAACCCGGGAAGUGCAUUGGAAACUGGCGAACUUGAGUACGGGAGAGGGAAGUGGAAUUCCGAGUGUAGGAGUGAAAUCCGUAGAUAUUCGGAGGAACACCAGUGGCGAAGGCGGCUUCCUGGACCGAUACUGACGCUGAGACGCGAAAGCGUGGGGAGCAAACAGGAUUAGAUACCCUGGUAGUCCACGCCGUAAACGAUGGGUACUAGGUGUCGCGGGUAUUGACCCCUAGUAUGCCGAAGCUACCGCAUUAAGUUCUCCGCCUGGGGAGUACGGCCGCAAGGUUAAAACUCAAAUGAAUUGAGGGGGGCCCGCACAAGCGGUGGAGCAUGUGGUUUAAUUCGAUGCAACGCGAAAAACCUUACCUACUCUUGACAUUCCCUAGAAGCUCUUGGAAACAAGAGUGUGCCUCUUUGAGGAACUUGGUGACAGGUGCUGCACGGCUGUCGUCAGCUCGUGUCGUGAGAUGGUGGGUUAAGUCCCGCAACGAGCGCAACCCUUAUCUUUAGGUUCCAUCAUUAAGUUGGUCACUCUAAAGAUACUGCCGGUGUCAAACCGGAGGAAGGUGGGGAUGACGUCAAGUCCUCAUGGCCUUUAUGACCAGGGCUACACACGUACUACAAUGGCAUAGACAAAGGGCAGCCACUUGGUGACAAGGAGCAAAUCCCAUAAACUAUGUCUCAGUCCGGAUUGGAGUCUGCAACUCGACUCCAUGAAGUUGGAAUCGCUAGUAAUCGUGGAUCAGCAUGCCACGGUGAAUACGUUCCCGGGCCUUGUACACACCGCCCGUCACACCACGGGAGUUGGUUGUACCAGAAGCAGUUGAGCUAACUAUUUAUAGAGGGCAGGUACCUAAGGUACGGUUGAUGAUUGGGGUGAAGUCGUAACAAGGUAGGC